AGAGUUUGAUCCUGGCUCAGGAUGAACGCUAGCGGCAGGCUUAAUACAUGCAAGUCGUGGGGCAGCAGGACUGUAGCAAUACAGUUGCUGGCGACCGGCAAACGGGUGCGGAACACGUACACAACCUUCCUUCGAGUGGGGAAUAGCCCGGGGAAACCCGGAUUAAUACCCCGUAACAUAAUGGAGUGGCAUCACUUUAUUAUUAAAGCUACGGCGCUUGAAGAUGGGUGUGCGGCUGAUUAGGUAGUUGGCGGGGUAAUGGCCCACCAAGCCUACGAUCAGUAACUGGUGUGAGAGCACGACCAGUCACACGGGCACUGAGACACGGGCCCGACUCCUACGGGAGGCAGCAGUAAGGAAUAUUGGUCAAUGGACGCAAGUCUGAACCAGCCAUGCCGCGUGGAGGAUGAAGGUCCUCUGGAUUGUAAACUUCUUUUAUCUGGGAAGAAACCCAUGGAUUCUUCUGUGGUUGACGGUACCAGAUGAAUAAGCACCGGCUAACUCCGUGCCAGCAGCCGCGGUAAUACGGAGGGUGCAAGCGUUAUCCGGAUUCACUGGGUUUAAAGGGUGCGUAGGCGGACAGGUAAGUCAGUGGUGAAAUCUCUGGGCUUAACCCAGAAACUGCCGUUGAUACUAUCUGUCUUGAAUAUCAUGGAGGUAAGCGGAAUAUGUCAUGUAGCGGUGAAAUGCUUAGAUAUGACAUAGAACACCGAUAGCGAAGGCAGCUUACUACAUGGAGAUUGACGCUGAGGCACGAAAGCGUGGGGAGCAAACAGGAUUAGAUACCCUAGUAGUCC
rnacentral:rRNA from 1 species